CUCACAAGAAAAUGUAAGAGUUGUCCUAGCUUGGAAUGAUACAAAAAAGAUUAGCAUGGCCCCUCUACAAGGAUGGCAUGGAAAUUUGUAAAACAUUCCAUAUCUUU